AAUAUACUCCCUCCGUCCCAAAAUAAGUGUCUCAACUUUGUACUAGCUUGUACAAAGUUGAGACACUUAUUUUGGGACGGAGGGAGUAGAAA
rnacentral:pre_miRNA from 1 species